AUUGAACGCUGGCGGCAUGCCUUACACAUGCAAGUCGAACGGCAGCGCGGGGCAACCUGGCGGCGAGUGGCGAACGGGUGAGUAAUAUAUCGGAACAUACCCUAGAGUGGGGAUAACGUAGCGAAAGUUACGCUAAUACCGCAUACGCACUAAGGUGGAAAGUGGGGGAUUCGCAAGAACCUCAUGCUCAUGGAGUGGCCGAUAUCUGAUUAGCUAGUUGGUGAGGUAAAGGCUCACCAAGGCAACGAUCAGUAGCUGGUUUGAGAGAACGACCAGCCACACUGGAACUGAGACACGGUCCAGACUCCUACGGGAGGCAGCAGUGGGGAAUUUUGGACAAUGGGGGCAACCCUGAUCCAGCAAUGCCGCGUGAGUGAAGAAGGCCUCCGGGUUGUAAAGCUCUUUUGUCAGGGAAGAAACGGUGAGAGCUAAUAUCUCUUGCUAAUGACGGUACCUGAAGAAUAAGCACCGGCUAACUACGUGCCAGCAGCCG
rnacentral:rRNA from 1 species